AGUGAACGCUGGCGGUAGGCCUAACACAUGCAAGUCGAACGGCAGCACAGUAAGAGCUUGCUCUUACGGGUGGCGAGUGGCGGACGGGUGAGGAAUACAUCGGAAUCUACUUUUUCGUGGGGGAUAACGUAGGGAAACUUACGCUAAUACCGCAUACGACCUACGGGUGAAAGCAGGGGAUCUUCGGACCUUGCGCGAUUGAAUGAGCCGAUGUCGGAUUAGCUAGUUGGCGGGGUAAAGGCCCACCAAGGCGACGAUCCGUAGCUGGUCUGAGAGGAUGAUCAGCCACACUGGAACUGAGACACGGUCCAGACUCCUACGGGAGGCAGCAGUGGGGAAUAUUGGACAAUGGGCGCAAGCCUGAUCCAGCCAUACCACGUGGGUGAAGAAGGCCUUCGGGUUGUAAAGCCCUUUUGUUGGGAAAGAAAAGCAGCAGGUUAAUACCCCGCUGUUCUGACGGUACCCAAAGAAUAAGCGCCGGCUAACUUCGUG
rnacentral:rRNA from 1 species